CCCUGGUUAGCUCAGUUGGUAGAGCGCUCCACUUGUAAUGGAGAGGUCCCGGGUUCGAUGCCCGGACCAGGCG
rnacentral:tRNA from 1 species